CAGUAGCCGCGGUAAUACGUAGGUGGCAAGCGUUGUCCGGAAUUAUUGGGCGUAAAGCGCGCGCAGGUGGUUUAAUAAGUCUGAUGUGAAAGCCCACGGCUCAACUGUGGAGGGUCAUUGGAAACUGUUAAACUUGAGUGCAGGAGAGAAAAGUGGAAUUCCUAGUGUAGCGGUGAAAUGCGUAGAGAUUAGGAGGAACACCAGUGGCGAAGGCGGCUUUUUGGCCUGUAACUGACACUGAGGCGCGAAAGCGUGGGGAGCAAACAGGAUUAGAUACCCCUGUAGUCCUGUCUCUUAUACA
rnacentral:rRNA from 1 species